UACAUGGGGUGCAAACGUUGCUCGGAAUCAUUGGGCGUAAAGAGCUCGUAGGCGGUUUGUCGCGUCGUUCGUGAAAACUCACAGCUUAACUGUGAGCUUGCGGUCGAUACGGGCAGGCUAGAGUUCGGUAGGGGAGACUGGAAUUCCUGGUGUAGCGGUGAAAUGCGCAGAUAUCAGGAGGAACACCGGUGGCGAAGGCGGGUCUCUGGGCCGAUACUGACGCUGAGGAGCGAAAGCGUGGGGAGCGAACAGG
rnacentral:rRNA from 1 species